CCCUCAGUUCAUCUCUUGCUUUAUCCAUCCAUAAAUAGCUGCACCACCCAUCCACCUGAGGACCCUCCAUAAUCACCCAUAGGACCUUGUGUCUGUCUAUCAUCUUUCCUCCUUCCUCAUCUGAGUCCUCCCUGUACCUGAACCAAGAGAUGAGUCACUGCACCCCGCCCUUGCAAAGUGCCAGUGUUGGGACCAGAACAAGGAGUUCACACCAAGUUCUGCUUCCGGGGGUUCCAAUGUGACCUCAGCCAACUCCCCAAGUCCCAGCCCCUGCUUUUGCCUCUGAGAAGUGGGCCUUGGGAUCCCAUGAUGCAGACCUACAAGGAGAGUGUGGAGACGCAUAAGGGACGCUCUGGCCACACGUAGAAGCUG
rnacentral:lncRNA from 1 species